rnacentral:rRNA from 1 species
AGCAUAUCAAUAAGCGGAGGAAAAGAAACCAACAGGGAUUGCCCCAGUAACGGCGAGUGAAGCGGCAACAGCUCAAAUUUGAAAUCUGGCCCCAGGCCCGAGUUGUAAUUUGCAGAGGAUGCUUUUGGCGCGGUGCCUUCCGAGUUCCCUGGAACGGGACGCCAUAGAGGGUGAGAGCCCCGUACGGUUGGACACCAAGCCUUUGUAAAGCUCCUUCGACGAGUCGAGUAGUUUGGGAAUGCUGCUCUAAAUGGGAGGUACAUUUCUUCUAAAGCUAAAUAUUGGCCAGAGACCGAUAGCGCACAAGUAGAGUGAUCGAAAGAUGAAAAGCACUUUGAAAAGAGGGUUAAACAGCACGUGAAAUUGUUAAAAGGGAAGCGCUUGUGACCAGACUUGCGUCCGGUGAAUCACCCAGCUCUCGCGGCUGGGGCACUUCGCCGGCACAGGCCAGCAUCAGCUUGCCGUCGGGGACAAAAGCUUCAGGAACGUGGCUCCUCUCGGGGAGUGUUAUAGCCUGUUGCAUAAUACCCUUCGGCGGGCUGAGGUACGCGCUCCGCAAGGAUGCUGGCGUAAUGGUCAUCAGCGACCCGUCUUGAAACACGGACCAAGGAGUCAACCUUAUGUGCGAGUGUUUGGGUGUCAAACCCCUACGCGUAAUGAAAGUGAACGCAGGUGAGAGCUUCGGCGCAUCAUCGACCGAUCCUGAUGUUCUCGGAUGGAUUUGAGUAAGAGCAUAUAGGGUUGGACCCGAAAGAAGGUGAACUAUGCGUGUGUAGGGUGAAGCCAGAGGAAACUCUGGUGGAGGCUCGCAGCGGUUCUGACGUGCAAAUCGAUCGUCAAACAUGCGCAUGGGGGCGAAAGACUAAUCGAACCUUCUAGUAGCUGGUUUCCGCC